AGUAAAAAUAAUAAAAGUAUUAAGUGAAUGCCUUGGCAUUAAUUUUAUUUUUAGGACGUAAAAAAUGCGAAAAGCUGUAUUAAAUAAUAUUUUAUUUUGAAAUAAAGAUUUCCUAAAGAAAACUUUUUUUUUGUGAAAAUUUAAAAAACAGUGAAUUGAAAUAUCUAAGUAACUGUUAAAAAAAAUCAAACGAGAUUCUGUGAGUAAUGACGAAUGAAAAUGGAAAUUAGGUUUAUAAUUAUAACAAAAUUAUUUGAAAAAUUUUGAAAAAUUUACUUAAAAAGGUGAAAGUCCUGUAAAAUAAUAAAUAUUAUUAUAAUAGUAAAAAAAGGUAUGUGUAAUCUUUUUUGAAUAUUGGGGAACCACCCUCAAAACCUUUUAAAAAUUAAUGAUCGAUAGUGAACAAGUACUGUAAAGGAAAGGUGAAAAAGAACUUUUGAGUUUGAAAUAAUCCUGAAACUUAAUAUUAAUAAUCAAUUGAAACUUUUUUAAAAAGUAACAGUGUACCUUUUGCAUAAUGGGCCAGCAAGUUUAUUUUUAUAGCAAGCUUAAUUUAAUGAAGUAGGCGCAGAUAAAUCAAGUUUUAAAAAGCUUUAGUUAUAUAAAUAAGACCCGAAACUGAGUGAUCUAACCAUGAACAGAUUGAAAAAUAGGUAAAACUCUUUGAAAGAUCGAACUCACAUAUGUGGCAAAAUAUGGAGAUGAUUUGUGGUUAGGAGUGAAAGGCUAAUCAAACUCAGAGAUAGCUGGUUUUCCGCGAAAUCUAUUGAAGUAGAGCAUUUAAAAACUUUUUUUGGGGUAGAGCACUCAUUGAGCUAGGGGGUGUAAAAACUUACUGAACUCUUAGAAACUCCAAAUACAAAAAAAUGUAGUUUAAAUAGACAGACAUUAGGCGCUAAGGUCUUUUGUCAAAAGGGAAACAGCCCAGAUUGAUCGCUAAGGUCUCUAAAUAAUAUUCUAAGUGAAAAAGGAAGUGAAAAAAUAAUUACAACCAGUAGGUAGGCUCGGAAGCAGCCAUCCUUUAAAGAAUGCGUAAUAGCUCAUUGGUCUAGUUUUUUUGCGCCUAAAAUGUAUCGAGACUUAAGAAAUUUACCGAAGCGGCAAGUUUUAUAAUCAAAUAAAACGGUAGCGGAACAUUCUGUAUGUUGAGAAAGAUAUAUUGUAAAAUAUGUUGAAGAUAUCAGAAAAGAAAAUGCUGGCAUUAGUAACAAAAAAUAAUGAUUAAUAAUCAUUAUCACCGUAAAUCCAAGGGUUUCUAUGUUAAAAUGUAUUGCUUAGAGUGAAACGGCCCCUAAGAAAAAUUUGACGAAAGCGAAUUUUGAUGGGAUAAUUUUUAAAUUAAAUUUUUUAAAAAAAGUGACAAAAAUAAUAAUUUUUCAGGAAAUAGCUUUUUUUAAUAAAAACCGUAUUUUUUUAAUAAAAAUCGUAUUUUUUUAAUAAAAACCGUACCCUAAACCGACACAGGUGGAUAGGUCGAGUAGACUAAGGUGAAUGAGAGAACUAUAUUGAAGGAACUCGGCAAAAUGACUUUGUAACUUAGGGAUAAAAAGUACCUAAUUUUAAAAAUUAGGUGUCACAAAAUAGGGGGUUGCGACUGUUUAAUAAAAACUUAGGACUCUGCUAAAUGGUAACAUGAUGUAUAGGGUCUGACACCUGCCCGGUGCUGGAAGAUUAAAAGAAGAUGUUUACGCAUUAAAUGGAAGUCCCAGUAAACGGCGGCCGUAACUCUGACGGUCCUAAGGUAGCGAAAUUCCUUGUCGGGUAAGUUCCGACCUGCAUGAAUGGUGUAACGACAUCCCCGCUGUCUCCAAUAUAGACUCAGUGAAUUUGAAUUAUCCGUGAAGAUGCGGAUUUUCUAUAGUUAGACGGAAAGACCCCGUGAACCUUUACUACAUCUUUAUAUUGUUAUUUUAUAUAAUAUGUGUAGUAUAAGUGGUAAUCGUUUAAACCUUUACGCUAGUAAAUUGUUUAGAUAUCCUUGAAAUACCACUCUUAUUAAAAUAAAUAACUAAUAUUUUUAAAAUAGACAGUGUAUGGUUGGUAGUUUGACUGGGGCGGUCACCUCCUAAAGAGUAACGGAGGUGUACAAAGGUAAGCUCAAAUUGGAUGAUAUUAUCAAUUGAAGAGUGUAAUGGUAAAAGCUUGCUUGACUGUAAGAUAGACAUAUCAAACAGGGACGUAAGUCGGUCAUAGUGAUCCGAUAAUUCUUUGUGGAAAGAUUAUCGCUCAACGGAUAAAAGGUACUCCGGGGAUAACAGGCUAAUGACUCCUAAGAGCUCCUAUCGACGGAGUCGUUUGGCACCUCGAUGUCGACUCAUCACAUCCUGGAGCUGAAGAAGGUUCCAAGGGUUCGGCUGUUCGCCGAUUAAAGUGGUACGUGAGUUGGGUUUAGAACGUCGUGAGACAGUUUGGUUCCUAUCUUCUAUAGAUAUUUGAAAAAUGCAAGAAUCUAAUUCUAGUACGAGAGGACCGAUAAGGGUAAAUCUCUGGUGUAUCGGUUGUUAAAAAGCAUUGCCGAGUAGCUAAAUUUAUUUUGGAUAAUUACUGAAAGCAUAUAAGUAAGAAACCAUUCUUAAAAAUUUUUCAUAUAAAAACUGUAAAAGACUAUUACAUUGAUAGGUUUUAAGUGUAUUUAUUGUAAAAUAUUUAGCUUAAAGAUACUAAAAGUUUCAAAAUAUAAUUAU
rnacentral:rRNA from 1 species